UCUUCUUCUUCUUCUUCUCUUCUGUUUCUCAACCCUCUUCCAUGGCCGUACCUUCUCUCUGGUAAUUCCACUAACCAAGGAUUCCGUUACCAAUCAGUAUUUGGCCACUGUUUACCAUGGCUCUCCGAUUAAGCCUGUCCAUCUCGCCGUCGAUCUCGGCGGUCAGUUUCUCUGGAUGGCUUGUAGUGGAUCCUCUUCCAUCCGCCCGAUUCCCAGCUGCUCCAUUCAGUGUAUUGCGGCCACUGGUGGGGGUAGAUCUGGGCCUGUUAGCGGCGCGUGCGAUGUAAUCGCUGGGAAUCCGUUUGGGUAUUUGGAAGGUAAGGCGAUUCUGGUUGAGGAUACGGUGGCGGUGAGGUCUUUGGACCGGUCAACGGCGGCGGUGAUUGUUGCUCUUCAUUCUUGUGUUCCGAGGUUUCUUUUACAAGGUUUGGCGAAAUCUGCUAAAGGGAUUUUAGGGCUUGGCCGGAAUCAAAUCUCGCUUCCGGCUCAGAUCGCAACGGAGCUCGGUUCUCACCGGCGGUUUUCUAUCUGUCUUUCAUCGACGAACGGCGUCGUUUUUCCGGAUAGUGGGAGUCAAGACUCUGUUUAUGGAUCUGAGAUUUCGAGUUCUUUAACUUACACGCCGAUAUUGACUAAGAAAAUCGACGCCUCCCAGUCGCCGGAGUAUUUCAUCAACGUGAAAGCCAUUAAAGUCGACGGUAACCGACUCGAUUUGAACAAGUCGCUGCUCGAUUUAGACGGCGGAGGAACGAGAUUAAGCACGGUUGUUCCGUACACUGUCUUAGAGAGUUCAAUCUUUAACUCUCUGACGGCGGCUUUCAGGGCGGCAGCAGCAGCGAUGAACAUGAAAGAAGUAGCGCCGGUAGCGCCGUUUGAGGCGUGUUUUGAAUCGGAAAACAUGGAGAUGACGGCUACAGGGCCAAAAGUACCGGAGAUUGAACUGAUUUUGCAGAGUGAGAUGGUGGGAUGGAAAAUCAAUGGAAGAAAUUCAAUGGUGAAGGUUAACGAUGAAGCUUUCUGUUUAGGGUUUGUUGAUGGUGGAUUGAAGCCGAGAAACGCCGUCGUUUUCGGAGGGUAUCAAAUGGAGGAUAUCGUUCUGGAUUUCGACAUGGGAACUUCCAUGCUCGGAUUUAGCUCCUCUUUGUUGCAGAGGAAGAGAUCUUGCUCGGAAUUUUCGCCGGAAGAUUUACUGAAAAGAACCGGAUGAUUUCGGGAACAUGAAACUGAAAAAUAAGAAGUAAAAUUUUGAGGGUUUUUUUUUUCUUUUUUGGAAAUUAGGAUUUUGCUGUCUAUUGGAG
rnacentral:misc_RNA from 1 species